rnacentral:rRNA from 1 species
GAUGAACGCUGGCGGCGUGCCUAAUACAUGCAAGUCGAGCGAACAGAUGAGGAGCUUGCUCCUCUGACGUUAGCGGCGGACGGGUGAGUAACACGUGGAUAACCUACCUAUAAGACUGGGAUAACUUCGGGAAACCGGAGCUAAUACCGGAUAAUAUAUUGAACCGCAUGGUUCAAUAGUGAAAGACGGUUUUGCUGUCACUUAUAGAUGGAUCCGCGCCGCAUUAGCUAGUUGGUAAGGUAACGGCUUACCAAGGCAACGAUGCGUAGCCGACCUGAGAGGGUGAUCGGCCACACUGGAACUGAGACACGGUCCAGACUCCUACGGGAGGCAGCAGUAGGGAAUCUGCCGCAAUGGGCGAAAGCCUGACGGAGCAACGCCGCGUGAGUGAUGAAGGUCUUCGGAUCGUAAAACUCUGUUAUUAGGGAAGAACAAAUGUGUAAGUAACUAUGCACGUCUUGACGGUACCUAAUCAGAAAGCCACGGCUAACUACGU